rnacentral:rRNA from 1 species
GACGGAGGGUGCUAGCGUUGUUCGGAAUUACUGGGCGUAAAGCGCACGUAGGCGGCUUUGUAAGUUAGAGGUGAAAGCCCGGGGCUCAACUCCGGAAUUGCCUUUAAGACUGCAUCGCUAGAAUUGUGGAGAGGUAAGUGGAAUUCCGAUUGUAGAGGUGAAAUUCGUAGAUAUUCGGAAGAACACCAGUGGCGAAGGCGACUUACUGGACACAUAUUGACGCUGAGGUGCGAAAGCGUGGGGAGCAAACAGG